AGAACGAACGCUGGCGGCAUGCCUAAUACAUACAAGUCGAACGAACACUUCGGUGUUAGUGGCGCACGGGUGCGUAACGCGUGGGAAUCUGCCCUUGGGUUCGGAAUAACAGUUGGAAACGACUGCUAAUACCGGAUGAUAUCGAAAGAUCAAAGAUUUAUCGCCCAAGGAUGAGCCCGCGUAGGAUUAGCUUGUUGGUGAGGUAAGAGCUCACCAAGGCGACGAUCCUUAGCUGGUCUGAGAGGAUGAUCAGCCACACUGGGACUGAGACACGGCCCAGACUCCUACGGGAGGCAGCAGGUGGGGAAUAGUUGGACAAGUGGGACGAAAGCCUAGAUCCAGCAAUGCCGCGUGAGUGAUGAAGGCCUUAGGGUUGUAAAGUCUUCGUUUACCGGAU
rnacentral:rRNA from 1 species